ACUGGUGUGACCUCGGCUCACUGCAACCUCCGCCUCCUGGGUUCAAGCCAUUCUUCUGCCUCAGCCUCUAGAGUAGCUGGGAUUAUAGGCGCCCGCCACCAUGCCUGGCUAAUUUUCUUGUAUUUUUAGUAGAAACAGGGUGUCACCAUGUUGGCUAGGCUGGUCUCAAACUCCUGACCUCACAUGAUCCACCUGCCUUGGCCUCCUAAAGUGCUGGGAUUAUAAGCAUUAGCAACCAUGCCUGGCCCAUAAGAGUGAUUUUUCAAGUCAACGUGGCAGAAAAUAAGAGGAAAAUCUGAGGCUGUUGGCAAGGGUGAUUGACAAGAAAGACCCUGUCCAUACGUUGAACACAGAAAGAAACAAAAUGAGAAGGCUGAGAGAUAAGGUACACAAAUGGGAGUCUUCAGACUGAGGAUCUCGAUGAGGGUACAGAAUUCAGUUACUCAGUGAGUCAUGGAUAGGCACCAGAAAAAGAGAAGAUUCUAGGUAGAGAAUAGAAGAUUUAAAUAUAAGAUCUUAAAGCUGAAUAGUUCCUGGGUAUGGCAAAGCCUGAGAGUAUGUAACUGAAAUUGGGUGGACAGAAGCUGCAACUGGGGCCAAUGACGUCGAGGUUUGGAAUGGUCAUCAGAGCAGACAUGGGAAUAACUCUGUAUAAUGACUUGAGUGGAAAUGGAAAGUAUGGUGAGAGGACGCAAAGUGAAAAAAGCAAGAGGAACAAUGCAUCGAGGUUAUUACCGGCAGGUAGAACACCUAAGCAAGGCCACAGGCACCCAGGAGAAGGCAGCAAGUUUCAGACCCACGAGUGCUGCCACCUGGAGCACGGGGAAGGGGAGAAGGGGAGCAAAGAGAGGGAGGCUGCAGAGACCUUGGAUUUUCAUUUUAUAUAAAGGGACUUAGGAAGGCAUUUUCUCAACAGAUAAAUGGACAAAUAGCUACAUGUUUACACACAUACUUGUCUAAACCCUGGGGAUUUAAGUAGCAAGUUAUACAACAGCAGAAUGUGAAAGUGCAUUGUCAUUAUAUUUGAAUUGAAAAAGUCAUCAAAAACUUAGUGGUUAUUAAAGCUUCCAAAAUUUGCUGUAUCCAGAAACAUUCUACAACUAGAAACUUGAUGAGAAGGUGACUUAAAAAUGAAUAAAGAUGUUUGCAGCAAGAAAUAAAAAUAAAAUAAAAGAGCUGCUGGUAGAGAGAGUCAGAGUUGGUCCAUAAUUAAUAUGAACAUCAAUCUCUUUGAAUGUCAGGAUGAAAGCCUAUUCUUGCUGAAAUAAUUUGAUUCACAGUAUCUUAAAAUAGCAUACAAGGGGAGAGAAAGAAGCAUUGGCAAGGAAAAGGUCUGUAACAACAAUAGUGUCUAGUUUCUUCCCUUGUUUCCUUUGGUGUGAAAAGUCCUAGAAGAGGGAAAGUGCUUCUAGGUUGGAUGCUGGGUCAGUCUGCUCCUGGCCCCACCCUCUGGGAGAAGCAGGCACUGGUUUGAGCAGUUGGAAUAGCCUCAGAGAACAGGAAGUUCUUUGAUCAAUUUACAUUACAAAGAAAGUCAUGUUCCAGAGGCAUUUUAGCCUAAAGUGCAAUCAUUCCUCAUCAUGCAAUCUAGAAGUGUAGCUGAAAAAUGCUGACAAUAUGUUUCAUAUAACAUCAGUAUGACACAUUGCAUAAUACAGCAUUGCAAUUAUCUUUAUUGAAGGGCUGCUAUGGGGCAGUCAUGGGCUUUAUACAUGUCACUUCUUCUAGUCAUUACGUCAGCCCUAUAUGGAAGACAUAAUCCCUGUUGUAGAGAGAGGAAAACAGACUUAGAAAAUAAGUGUUAAGUAAUAUAUCUUAAAGGUAAGCUGCUGUCUCUGUGGCUGCCCACCCUAUGAUCUUUCCACCAUGUCACUCUGCCUUCCGAGCAAGAGUCUCUCUAGUCAAUGGCACUUCCUUAGGAAAGGUUCAGAAAGGACAUGACAAAUUACAUCCUGCUUCAGCUUACAGCAGUGCUCUUUCCAGCUCAGUGGCUUUACAGUGAACAGGGAUCAGACCCACAACCUCAGGCUAGUACAACAGAGCCCAGCAGCCUUUUACUGCCAUACCUGGAAACCCAAUCACUGUCAGAAAACACCCUAAGGCAAAGUGGUGAUAUCUGUCCUUUCCUGAUGCUGGGUCUCAGUCCCACAGAGAGAGGGCCAGUGUGUCCUGGUGAUAAUCUUAAUUCACACAUUCAUUCAUCCAAUGUGCAUUUGGUGGGCACCAUCGGUGGGCUAUGUGCUAUGAUGGGCAUUCAGAAUAUACAAAUCAAUAAAGCAAUGUUCCUGCUCUCAGUGAAUUCACAGAUCAGUGAGGCCAAAAUAAUGAGAAACAAUUGUUACAAGGUGGUGUGCCGAGGGCAAAGGCAGCAUUACAAAACUAUGGGAGUGGACAAGGGAGAGAUGAAAAGAUGGGUGAGUAUGUUCCAGUGCUCUACAUGAAUACUAUAGACCACAGGGGCUCAUACAUUCACUGUCUCCACAGAUAGCUUGUGCUACUGGAUGUGUUGCCACCUCAGAAAUAGCCAGUUUUCAGCUAUAGGUCACUCCAGGAGCAAAGGACAAAUAGAUUAGUAUUGAGGACUCACUUUUCCUAAAGAGUCUAAUGACUUUAUAAUAAAAGUGUUUCUACUAAAAGUUUGACUAUAAUAAGACCAAAAUAUGCUGGCUUAUUUACUGUUGGUUUCCAGAACUCAGUCUUCUUACAGAUUUCUGAAGAUACAGUAUUUUUAUCUGAAGACACAUGUUAUUUGGGAGUUGCAUUCACUGUGAGCAAAGCUAUCCAGGCAAAUAGAGUCUGUGUUGAGGGAGCUGUGGCUGUUCUGGAUGUGACUUGUGCCCUGGGCUGGAAGAAAGGGAGGAGCAGAGGAACAGGAAUGGAGCUGGAAGACUAUCCUUAGCAGACUAACACAGGAACAGAAAACCAAAUACCACACUUUUUCACUUAUAAGAGGGAGCUGAAUGAUGAGACUAUAUAGGCAUAUAGAAGGGAACAACAGACACUGAGGCCUAUUGGAGGUAAAGGAUGAGAAGAGGAAGAGGAUCAAGAGAAAUAACCCAUAGGCACUAGAAUUAAUACCUGUGUAACAAAACAAUCUGUACGGCGAGCCUCCAUAACACAAGUUUAACAUGUCUCCACAUGUACCCCUGAACGUCAAAUAAAAGUUUAAAAAAUCACUAAUUUAUACAAGUGCUUC